rnacentral:rRNA from 1 species
AGAGUUUGAUCCUGGCUCCGGAUGAACGCUCGCAAUAUACUUAACACAUGCUAGUCGAAUGUCUAACAGACAUGGCGAACGGGUGCGUAAUACAUAAGAAUCUACCUUAAAGUUCAAAAUAAUUUGUUUAUUUACUGAAAAUGUUUUUAAACGAAAAAUAUUGAAUAUUUAAAGAUUAAAUAUCGCUUUAAGAUGAGCUUAUGCAGGAUUAGGUAGUUGGUGGGGUAAUAGCCUACCAAGCCUAUGAUCCUUAGCUGAUCUGAGAGGAUGGUCAGCCACACUAGAACUGAGACAAGGUCUAGGCUUAUGCCAGCAGUGGGGAAUCUUGGACAAUGGGCGAAAGCUUGAUCCAGUAAUAUUGCAUGAAUGAGGACAGCACAAAAGAUUUGGGAGUUUUCUCUCAAGUCGGCUGUAAAAUUCUUUCGCUGGUGAGGAUAAUGACUGUAACCAGAGAAGAAGCUCCGGCUAACUUCGUGCCAGCAGCCGCGGUAAUACGAAGGGAGCAAGCGUUAUCCUAAAUGAUUGGGCGUAAAGGGUUCGUAGGUGGUAAUUGUUGUCAUAUGUGAAAUUUUAAAAUAAUAUUUUAAAUCGGCGUAUGAUACUCUUUUACUUGAGUAUAUUAGGGGAUAACAGAAUGUUAUAUGGAGGAGUAAAAUCUUAUGAUCUAUAAUGGAAUGCCAGCGGCGAAAGCGGUUAUCUGGGAUAUAUACUGACACUGAGGAACGAAAGCGUGGGGAGCAAACAGGAUUAGAUACCCUGGUAGUCCACGCUGUCAAAGAUGAGUGCUAACAUUUGGAGUUAUUCAGAUGUAUAGUCAACACGUUAAGCACUCCGCCUGGGGAGUACGAUCGCAAGAUUGGAACUCAAAGGAAUUGACGGGGAUCUACACAAGUGGUGGAGCAUGUGGUUUAAUGCGAUAAUACACGCGGAAUCUUACCAGUUCUUGAAUAUAAUUUUGACAAUAUUAAUAUUAUUGUUUAUUGACAAAGUAUCACACUUUUAUAAUAAAAUUAUACAGGUGUUGCAUGGCUGUCGUCAGCUCGUGCCGUGAGGUGUUCGGUUAAGUCCUUUAACGAGCGAAACUCUUAUUUUAUGUUGGUAAUUUGAAGUCUGAAAAGAUUUUAAUCCACUCAUAAAAAACUGCUAGUGAUAAACUAGAGGAAGGUGAGAACGACGUCAAGCCCUUAUGGCCCUUAUGAACUGGGCUACGCACGUGCUACAAUGGUAAUUACAAAAAGUUAUACAAUGGAGAAAUUCGGAGUAAAUCUUUAAAAGUUACCGUGUUCAGAUUAUAGGCUGCAACUCGCCUAUAUGAAGGUGGAAUCACAAGUAAUCGUAAAUCAGAAUGUUACGGUGAAUUUGUACUUAGAUCUUGCACACACCGCCCGUCACAUGCCGGAAGUGAAUUUUGUUCGAAAUUUUGAAAAGAUAUAUUUAUAUUAUUAGAUGAUCACUAACAUG